rnacentral:hammerhead_ribozyme from 1 species
AUUCAGCUGACGAGUCCCAAAUGGGAUGAAACGUGCGUCUUGGAU